UUUUUGAUAGCUCAAUGAUAGAGCACUCAACCGGCAAUUGGAGAAUCUGGGUUCAAGUCCCGGCCAGGGUU
rnacentral:tRNA from 1 species